rfam:Amycolicicoccus subflavus DQS3-9A1, complete genome.
UUGUAAGUGUUUAAGGGCGCAUGGUGGAUGCCUUGGCAUCAGGAGCCGAUGAAGGACGUGGGAGGCCGCGAUAGGCCUCGGGGAGCUGUCAGCCGAGCUGUGAUCCGAGGGUGUCCGAAUGGGGAAACCCAGCACGAGUGAUGUCGUGUUACCUGCCGUUGAAUGUAUAGACGGUGUGGAGGGAACGCGGGGAAGUGAAACAUCUCAGUACCUGCAGGAAGAGAAAACAAUUGAGUGAUUCCGUGAGUAGUGGCGAGCGAAAGCGGAUGGUGGCUAAACCUUGUGCGUGUGAUACCCGGCGGGGGUUGCGUAUGAGGGGUUGUGGGGCAGUGUUGUUCUGUUACCGCCGUGACAGUCAGAUCCAGUGUGUGUGUUAGCGGAAGCCGCUUGGGAUGGUGUGCCGGAGAGGGUGAGAGUCCCGUACGCGAAAAUGUAUGCCUGGUCUGUGACGUUGUACCCGAGUAGCAGCGGGCCCGUGAAAUCUGCUGUGAAUCUGCCGGGACCACCCGGUAAGCCUGAAUACUCCCUGAUGACCGAUAGUGGAUAAGUACCGUGAGGGAAUGGUGAAAAGUACCCCGGGAGGGGAGUGAAAUAGUACCUGAAACCAUGCGCUUACAAUCCGUCAGAGCCUUCCCUUUUGGGGUGGGGUGAUGGCGUGCCUUUUGAAGAAUGAGCCUGCGAGUUAGUGGCAUGUCGCGAGGUUAACCCGUGAGGGGCAGCCGUAGCGAAAGCGAGUCUGAAUAGGGCGUCGCAGUGGCAUGUUCUAGGCCCGAAGCGGAGUGAUCUACCCAUGGCCAGGGUGAAGCGUCGGUAAGACGUCGUGGAGGCCCGAACCCACUUAGGUUGAAAACUGAGGGGAUGAGUUGUGGGUAGGGGUGAAAGGCCAAUCAAACUCCGUGAUAGCUGGUUCUCCCCGAAAUGCAUUUAGGUGCAGCGUCACGUGUUUCUUGCCGGAGGUAGAGCUACUGGAUGGCCGAUGGGCCUCACCAGGUUACUGACGUCAGCCAAACUCCGAAUGCCGGUAAGUGAGAGCGUGGCAGUGAGACUGCGGGCGAUAAGGUUCGCUGGUCGAGAGGGAAACAGCCCAGAUCGCCGGCUAAGGCCCCUAAGCGUGUGCUAAGUGGAAAAGGAUGUGGGACCGCUCAGACAGCCAGGAGGUUGGCUUAGAAGCAGCCACCCUUGAAAGAGUGCGUAAUAGCUCACUGGUCUAGUGGUCCUGCGCCGAUAAUGUAGCGGGGCUCAAGCACACCGCCGAAGCCGCGGCACUCCAGCAUGUCAUCCGCAUACCCCUUUUUGGGGUGUGUGCAGUGGCUGGGGUGGGUAGGGGAGCGUCCUGCAUCCAGGGAAGCAGCCGUGUGAACGAGUUGUGGAGGGUGUGGGAGUGAGAAUGCAGGCAUGAGUAGCGAAAGCAGAGUGAGAAACUCUGCCGCCGGAUGACCAAGGGUUCCUGGGGCAGGUUAAUCCGCCCAGGGUGAGUCGGGACCUAAGGCGAGGCCGACAGGCGUAGUCGAUGGAUAACGGGUUGAUAUUCCCGUACCCGUGUGGGCGCGUCCGUGGUGAAUCGGUGAUACUAACCACCCAGAAGCCCUCUGUCCCGCUUCGGCGGGUGUGAGGGUGGAUGCGUGGGACCUGAUCCGGUAGUAGCCAAGCGAUGGGGUGACGCAGGAAGGUAGUGGGGCCAGUCAGUGGUAAUACUGGUGUAAACCUGUAGCCCGGUGGAUAGGUAAAUCCGUCUGCCAUUGAAGGGUGAGAGGUGAUGCGACCCCGUUGAGGGGGAUUCCAUGAUCCUAUGCUGCCGAGAAAAGCCUCUAGCGAGUUCCCGCAUGGCCCGUACCCCAAACCGACACAGGUGGUCAGGUAGAGAAUACUAAGGCGCUCGAGUUAACUGUGGUUAAGGAACUCGGCAAAAUGCCCCCGUAACUUCGGGAGAAGGGGGACCACGCCCGGUGAGCCACCAUUGCGUGGGGAGCUGGGGGUGGUCGCAGAGACCAGAGAGAAGCGACUGUUUACUAAAAACACAGGUCCGUGCGAAGCCGCAAGGCGAGGUAUACGGACUGACGCCUGCCCGGUGCUGGAAGGUUAAGAGGACCGGUUAGCCCGUAAGGGCGAAGCUGAGAAUUUAAGCCCCAGUAAACGGCGGUGGUAACUAUAACCAUCCUAAGGUAGCGAAAUUCCUUGUCGGGUAAGUUCCGACCUGCACGAAUGGCGUAACGACUUCUCUGCUGUCUCAACCACAGGCUCGGUGAAAUUGCAUUACGAGUAAAGAUGCUCGUUACGCGCGGCAGGACGAAAAGACCCCGGGACCUUUACUGCAGCUUGGUAUUGGUGUCUGGUUCGGUUUGUGUAGGAUAGGUGGGAGACUGUGAAACCCUCACGCCAGUGGGGGCGGAGUCGUUGUUGAAAUACCACUCUGACCGGAUUGGGCAUCUAACCUCGGACCCUGAACGGGUUCAGGGACAGUGCCUGGUGGGUAGUUUAACUGGGGCGGUUGCCUCCUAAAAAGUAACGGAGGCGCCCAAAGGUUCCCUCAGCCUGGUUGGCAAUCAGGUGUUGAGUGCAAGUGCACAAGGGAGCUUGACUGUGAGACGUACAUGUCGAGCAGGGACGAAAGUCGGGACUAGUGAUCCGGCACCCCCGAGUGGAAGGGGUGUCGCUCAACGGAUAAAAGGUACCCCGGGGAUAACAGGCUGAUCUUCCCCAAGAGUCCAUAUCGACGGGAUGGUUUGGCACCUCGAUGUCGGCUCGUCGCAUCCUGGGGCUGGAGUAGGUCCCAAGGGUUGGGCUGUUCGCCCAUUAAAGCGGCACGCGAGCUGGGUUUAGAACGUCGUGAGACAGUUCGGUCUCUAUCCGCCGCGCGCGUUAAGAAACUUGAGGAAACCUGUCCCUAGUACGAGAGGACCGGGACGGACGGACCUCUGGUAUGCCAGUUGUCCCACCAGGGGCACGGCUGGUUAGCCACGUCCGGAAGGGAUAACCGCUGAAAGCAUCUAAGCGGGAAGCCCGUUCCAAGAUGAGGUUUCUCACCAACACGAUUGGGUAAGGCCCCCCACAGACCAUGGGGUUGAUAGGCCAGAACUGGAAGCACGGCAACGUGUGCAGGUGACUGGUACUAACCGGCCGAGGACUUACACAC